AUUGAACGCUGGCGGCAUGCUUUACACAUGCAAGUCGAGCGGCAGCGCGGGGCAACCCUGGCGGCGAGCGGCGGACGGGUGAAGUAAUGCAAUCUACCUUUUACAGGGGAAUAGCCCAGAGAAAUUUGGAUUAAUGCCCCAUAGUAUGUAUGAAUCGCAUGGUUUAUACAUUAAAGUUCCAACGGUAAAAGAUGAGCAUGCGUCCCAUUAGUUAGUUGGUAAGGUAACGGCUUACCAAGACGAUGAUGGGUAGGGGUCCUGAGAGGGAGAUCCCCCACACUGGUACUGAGACACGGACCAGACUCCUACGGGAGGCAGCAGGUGGGGAAUUUUGGACAAUGGACGCAAGUCUGAUCCAGCCAUGCCGCGUGCGGGAAGAAGGCCUUCGGGUUGUAAACUGUCUUUUGUACGGAGACGAAAACGGCCCUCUCUAAUACAGGGGGUUCAUGACGGUACCGUAAGAAUAAGCACCGGCUAACUACGUG
rnacentral:rRNA from 1 species